rnacentral:rRNA from 1 species
CCUACGUGUGGCUGCAGUGAGGAAUAUUGGUCAAUGGACGAGAGUCUGAACCAGCCAAGUCGCGUGAAGGAUGACUGCCCUAUGGGUUGUAAACUUCUUUUAUAUGGGAAUAAAAUGUUCCACGUGUGGGAUUUUGUAUGUACCAUAUGAAUAAGGAUCGGCUAACUCCGUGCCAGCAGCCGCGGUAAUACGGAGGAUCCGAGCGUUAUCCGGAUUUAUUGGGUUUAAAGGGUGCGGAGGUGGGUUGUUAAGUCAGUUGUGAAAGUUUGCGGGUCAAACGUAACACUGCAGUUGAAACUGGCAGUCUUGAGUGCAGGAGAGGUAGGCGGAAUGCGUGGUGUAGCGGUGAAAUGCUUAGAUAUCACGAAGAACUCCGAUUGCGAAGGCAGCUCACUGGACUGCAACUGACGCUGAGGCUCGAAAGUGUGGGUAUCGAACAGGAUUAGAUACCCCAGUAGUC